UGGGGAAUCUUCCGCAAUGGGCGAAAGCCUGACGGAGCGACGCCGCGUGAGUGAAGAAGGUCUUCGGACCGUAAAGCUCUUUUGUUGCAGGCGAAGGGUAAGAGCAGGAAAUGGCUCUUAUUAGACGGUAUGCAACGAAUAAGCCACGGCUAACUACGUG
rnacentral:rRNA from 1 species